GACGAACGCUGGCGGCGUGCUUAACACAUGCAAGUCGAACGGAAAGGCCCUGCUUUUGUGGGGCGCUCGAGUGGCGAACGGGUGAGUAACACGUGUGUAUCCCGCCCCUGUCUUUCGGGUAACUUCACGAAACUGGGGCUAAUACCGGAUAGGAGCUCCUGCACCAUGGUGGGGGUUGGAAAGUUUCGGCGGUUGGGGAUGGACUCGCGGCUUAUCAGCUUGUUGGUGGGGUAGUGGCUUACCAAGGGUUUGACGGGUAGCCUGCCUGGGAGGGGGACCGGCGACAUUGGGACUGAGAUACGGCCCAGACUCGUACGGGAGGCAGCAGUGGGGAGUAUGGCACAAUGGCCGGAAGCCUGAUGCAGCAACGCCGCGUGCGGGAUGACGUGCUUCGGGUUGUAAACCGCUUUCGCCUGUGAUGAAGCGUGAGUGACGGUAAUGGGUAAAGAAGCACCGGCUAACUACGUG
rnacentral:rRNA from 1 species